UCCUUGGUAGCUCAGCUGGUAAAGAAUCUGCCUACAAUGCAGGAGACCCUGGUUCAAUUCCUGGGUCAGGAA
rnacentral:tRNA from 1 species